rnacentral:rRNA from 1 species
UGACGGUACCCUUUCGAAUAAGAGGUUGCUAACUCUGUGCCAGCAGCAGCGGUAAUACAGAGACCUCGAGCGUUAUCCGGAUUUACUGGGCGUAAAGCGUCUGUAGGGGGUUUGUUAAGUUCCAAGUAAAAUCUUAAGGCUCAACUUUAAGUUCGCUUGGAAAACUAAUAAACUGGAGUCCAGCAGAGGUGCAUGGAACUUGCGGUGUAGGAGUGAAAUCCGUUGAUAUCGCAAGGAACACCAAAGGCGAAGGCAUUGCACUGGGCUGGUACUGACCCUGAGAGACGAAAGCGUGGGGAGCAAAACGGAUUAGAUACCCGUGUAGUCCACGCCGUAAACGAUGGAUACUAGAUGUUCGGGGAUUCGACCCCCUGGGUGUCACAGCUAACGCGUUAAGUAUCCCGCCUGGGAAGUACGGCCGCAAGGCUAAAACUCAAAGGAAUAGACGGGGAUCCGCACAAGCGGUGGAGCGUCUGGUUUAAUUUGAUAGUAAGCAAUGGACCUCACCAAGGUUUGACAUCCUAUGACAACCCUGGAAACAGGGCUUCCUUCGGGCAUAGUGACAGGUGCUGCAUGGUCGUCGUCAGUUCGUGCCGUGAGGUGUUCCGUUAAGUCGGGAAACGAACGAAACCCUCGUCGCAUGUUACAAAUUUCAUGCGAGACUGCCCGGGUCAACCGGGAGGAAGGCGGGGAUGACGUCAGAUCAGCAUGGCCCUUAUACCUUGGGCUACACAGGCGCUACAAUGGCCGGUACAAAGGGUUGCAAAACCGCGAGGUGAAGCUAAUCCCAUAAAGCCGGUCCAAGUUCGGAUUGGAGGCUGCAACUCGCCUCCAUGAAGUUGGAAUCGCUAGUAAUCGUGGAUCAGCCAUACCACGGUGAAUACGUUCCCGGAUCUUGUACUCACCGCCCGUCACACCAAGAGAGUUGGUAGCUCCUGAAGCGUCGCAUUAGCGCACCACGGAGAGAUCAGCGAUAGG